AAAGCGCGCGUAGGUGGUUUGUUAAGUUGGAUGUGAAAUCCCCGGGCUCAACCUGGGAACUGCAUUCAAAACUGACUGACUAGAGUGUGGUAGAGGGUGGUGGAAUUUCCUGUGUAGCGGUGAAAUGCGUAGAUAUAGGAAGGAACACCAGUGGCGAAGGCGACCACCUGGACCAACACUGACACUGAGGUGCGAAAGCGUGGGGAGCAAACAGGAUUAGAUACCCCUGU
rnacentral:rRNA from 1 species